UCCCCCAUGGUCCAGUGGUAAGGACUUGGUGUUUUCACUGCAGAGGGCCCAGGUUCAAUCCUUGGUCAGGGAA
rnacentral:tRNA from 1 species